rnacentral:rRNA from 1 species
CCAAGGUUAGUGGCAAACGGGUGAGUAAUACAUAUCUAACAUACCCCUCUGUGGGGGAUAGCCACUUGAAAAAGUGAUUAAUACCCCAUAGGAAGCUUUAUCCAUGAUUUAGCUUUUAAAGCCUUCGGGCGCUGAGGGAUUGGGAUAUGCUCUAUUAGCUAGUUGGCGGGAUAAAAGCCCACCAAGGCAAUGAUAGAUAGCUGGUCUUAGAGGAUGAACAGCCACAAUGGGAUUGAGAUACGGCCCAUAUUCCUACGGGAAGCAGCAGUAGGGAAUCUUCCACAAUGGACGAAAGUCUGAUGGAGCAAUACCAUGUGAACGAUGAAGGCCUUUUUGGUUGUAAAGUUCUUUUACGAGGGAUAAUUAUGAUAGUACUUCGUGAAUAAGUGACAGCAAACUAUGUGCCAGCAGCUGCGGUAAUACAUAGGUCGCAAGCAUUAUUCGGAUUUAUUGGGCGUAAAGCAAGCGCAGGCGGAUGUGUAAGUUCUGUGUUAAAUGCAGCUACUCAAUAGUUGUAUGCACCGAAUACUACAUGUCUAGAUUGUGGUAGGGAGUUUCGGAAUUAAGCAUGGAGCGGUGGAAUGUGUAGAUAUGCUUAAGAACACCAGAGGCGAAGGCGGAAACUUAGGCCAUAAAUGACGCUUAGGCUUGAAAGUGUGGGGAGCAAAUGGGAUUAGAUACCCCAGUAGUCCACACCGUAAACGAUGGGUAUUAGAUAUUAGGGCUUUAGCUUUAGUGUUGUAGCUUACGCGUUAAAUACCCCGCCUGGGUAGUACAUAUGCAAAUAUGAAACUCAAAGGAAUUGACGGGGACCUGAACAAGUGGUGGAGCAUGUUGCUUAAUUCGAUAAUACACGAAAAACCUUACCAAGGUUUGACAUCCCUCGCAAAGCUAUAGAAAUAUAGUAGAGGUUAUCGAGGUGACAGGUGGUGCAUGGCUGUCGUCAGCUCGUGUCUUGAGAUGUUUGGUUAAGUCCCGCAACGAGCGCAACCCCACUCUUUAGUUACUUGUCUAAAGAGACUGCACAGUAAUGUAGAGGAAGGAUGGGAUCACGUCAAGUCAUCAUGCCCCUUAUGCCUUGGGCUGCAAACGUGCUACAAUGGCGAACACAAUGUGUUGCAAACCAGCGAUGGUAAGCUAAUCACCAAAUUUCGUCUCAGUUCGGAUAGGAGG